rnacentral:rRNA from 1 species
UCAACUUGAGAGUUUGAUCCUGGCUCAGAACGAACGCUGGCGGCAGGCCUUAUACAUGCAAGUCGAGCGCAUCCUUCGGGAUGAGCGGCGGACGGGUGAGUAACGCGUGGGAAUGUGCCCUUCUCUACGGAAUAGCCACUGGAAACGGUGAGUAAUACCGUAUACGCCCUCAGGGGGAAAGAUUUAUCGGAGAAGGAUCAGCCCGCGUUAGAUUAGGUAGUUGGUGGGGUAACGGCCUACCAAGCCUACGAUCUAUAGCUGGUUUUAGAGGAUGAUCAGCCACACUGGGACUGAGACACGGCCCAGACUCCUACGGGAGGCAGCAGUAGGGAAUCUUGGACAAUGGGGGCAACCCUGAUCCAGCCAUGCCGCGUGAGUGAAGAAGGCCCUAGGGUCGUAAAGCUCUUUCGCCUGUGAUGAUAAUGACAGUAGCAGGUAAAGAAACCCCGGCUAACUCCGUGCCAGCAGCCGCGGUAAUACGGAGGGGGUUAGC